GGAUUUGGAUAUUCAUCCCCACCAAAUCUCAUGUUGAAAUGUAAUCCCCAGUGUUGGAGGUGGGGCCUGGUUGGAGGUGUUUGGAUUAUGGGGAUGGAUCCCUCAUCAAUGGCUUAGCACCGUCCCCUUGGUGUUGAGUGAACUCUCACUUUUAAGUU